rnacentral:rRNA from 1 species
UACAGAGGGUGCGAGCGUUAAUCGGAAUUACUGGGCGUAAAGCGUGCGUAGACGGUUUCGUAAGUCGGGUGUGAAAUCCCCGGGCUCAACCCGGGAACUGCGUCCGAUACUGGAAGGCUUGAAUCCGGGAGAGGGAUGCGGAAUUCCAGGUGUAGCGGUGAAAUGCGUAGAUAUCUGGAGGAACACCGGUGGCGAAGGCGGCAUCCUGGACCGGCAUUGACGCUGAGGCGCGAAAGCCAGGGGAGCAAACGGG